rnacentral:lncRNA from 1 species
CCAAUUAGUGAGUGUCUUUGUAUCUGUAUCUAUUGGAAGAAGCAUGGCACAUGUGCCGGUCAGGCCGAGGGAAGCUGUCGACCCUCGUCACCCUCUAAGCAGGGGCUAUCUAUCGGACUGUUAAGGACAGACAGCAUGCUGCAUUCAUUCCCUUCCUCUGUGAGUAUUUUGCUGAUGAGCCUCAUGGCAUGCUUGCUUUCUGUGUACCCCUAUCCUGCUCACUCAUAAAAUGCAAUACAUGUAGGUCAAGGCCAUAAUCAAAAGGUUCAAGCGGUUGGAGUCCCAGGAAGGCCUGGGUAGGUUUACCUGGGUAGUCACCAUUAGAAAGCACUAAUGCAGAAGAAAAGGAAAUGCGUAUCCUAUUGGCCUUUUCCUGCUGACUGCCUAGCCACAGAGCCAUAUUGCCUUGCUGGAGCUGCGAGGACCAACACACAAAGACAAAGAUGACCAGAAUAAACGCUUAGAGACCUAGAGAACACCUUUAGAUGAAACAAUUCAGGAUGAUCUAAUGUUCUUGUUGUGUGGGUGGUCUGGCCUUCUCACUGCUCUAGACACUAGUCACGUGGUUAGAUUUGGACAUCCUGUGCUUUGUGGGACAGGGGACUUCCAAGGGGUAUUUCAUCGGUGCCAUCUUUCUGUGUGGUCUGUGAGGAGCUGCUGUGUGUUCUUGUUAGUGUGUGUCUUGCAACCUUCAGCUGCACAUCGCUGAUUCAGACCCACCUCUUUGAGCUUCCAGUCGUGUGUUGCAGGGGGUUUAAAGUAGCCAUGCAUGGGUUUGGCAUCAGUGAAUAUCUAGCCAGCUGGCUAAGACAGGAAAAGAAUAAGGUAUUUCUUUCCUUAUGUAAUAAUGAAAAGCAAUAAUUACAAGUAUGUAACAAUACACAAAGGCCAUAAUUAGUCUCUUCCAGUGUUCAGGAUGCGCUAGAGAAUUCUGCAGUCAUUUGGAGUAUGUUGGACCCCUCAGUAUGUCCUGUAGCACCCUUCAGUAAACAAAUACCUGAACUGCUCCUUAUUUAACAAUUUUAUGAGCCCACACCACUGCAUUUUGGGAGUGACAGAUGUGUUUGGAAAUGGGGAGAGUUCUUGCAAAGCACUGUACCAGAGACCAUGUUGUACAUUUGUCUGUUAUAAACAGGCUGGUUUGUAAAAGAUGUAUGUUUUUGGUGUUUAAAAUGUUUAUAAAAUUGUAUAUAGGUGGUUUCAAUUUUCCAGGCGUUUGUACAUACAGUAUUUGAUGCCUAUCCGGAUGCUUUAAUUUGGAGGGUCGAAUAGAAUUCCUAGUCAUCCACAUCGUUGUUCCACAAACUUUUGGGGUGCACCCACAGAGAAGAGGACUUUAGAUUUGAAAACAAUGUUUUUGAUUCAUUUCGAAAUGUAUCGUGUCUCUCCUUUGCUUCCACGGUUUCCAUUUAACUCUGUUUUCAAAGGGAGAAAAGUGUUUCUUUCGACUUCUUUUUAAGAUGAAUGAGUUUUGCCCAGUUUUUAAGCACUCCUCGUUCAUGUCUUUCCUAGUCAGAGGGAGCUGCCAUCUCCUCAGACACGCGCACACUCACUCACCUCACCUCGCACACACAUCACGGCAAACGUAUGCAAAGGGGGAAGUGAAUAGCACAUCACUGAGUCUGUUCCUUAUACAAAUCAUUAUUUCUACAGAUAUUGCUGUUAGCAGUAUUCAGCCUUGUGUUCUUUUCUUUAAAAAAAGAAAAGAAAAGAAAAGAAAAGAAAAGAAAUGGGAUAAAAACAAAAUGAAAUAAAAAGACACACAAAAAAAAUUUUAGCCAAAAUACUAAAACAGGGGCCGGGGAGGGAACAACAGUAUACAGGUUUGUAACUACCAAAUUUGAUCAUUAAAACAAGUUUUCGAGUAAAAGG